AUUUUUGGCUUGACCAGAAGCAGGAAGAGUAGGAAAUGUUAUUUUAAAAAGUCCCGUUUUUCACACUGCUGAUGUCUGGAGAGUCGAGAUAAGCUUUGAGCCUACUUCCAAAUCUCUGGGUGCUCCUCCAAGCGUGCUGGAAAUGGGGGUGUGAAACAUAGCUUGCUGAGGUGGGAUUGGACAGGGAUCAAGACGCAACAGAAUUGGCACUGUCAAGAGGCAAGAUAAGGCAUUUGCAAUUGGCAGUGUUUCAAAGGACUCCAGAUUUCUCCAAAGAACCUAGAUUUCCCAGGUACUGAACAUGUGCAAAAUAGAAACAAACAUUCAAGAUGAGUGAGUGAUGAGUUCUGCCUGUGGUCAGAAGAAAACAACACUCCCAACUCUGCAACCUGAUCACUUCCCUACUUAGUCCUGUUUGUGGAGCCGCCUUAUUAACGACAUUAGAACAAAGAUAUGAAGGUGAUGUACAAUCAUUACUAGUUUUUAACCAAAGAUUUUGGUCACAAUAAGGACCAAUAGCUGUUUCUUUGGACCUCUGAGCCCAUCUCUGCUGGAAAGGUAUUUGAUACAUUUUAGCAUGCAGGAAACAAUAAACAUUUACAUUUAUUUUAAAA
rnacentral:lncRNA from 10 species